rnacentral:rRNA from 1 species
ACACGGCCCAGACUCCUACGGGAGGCAGCAGUAGGGAAUCUUCCGCAAUGGACGAAACAGUCUGACGGAGCAACGCCGCGUGAGUGAUGAAGGCUUUCGGGUCGUAAAACUCUGUUGUUAGGGAAGAACAAGUGCUAGUUGAAUAAGCUGGCACCUUGUUUUUUACCUAACCAGAAAGCCACGGCUAACUACGUGCCAGCAGCCGCGGUAAUACGUAGGUGGCAAGCGUUAUC